UGAGGAAUCUUCCGCAAUGGGCGAAAGCCUGACGGAGCGACACCGCGUGAAGGAUGAAGCCCUUUCUGGGCGUAAACUUCUGUUCUGAGGGACGAAAUUUUUGACGGUACCUCAGGAGAAAGCAUCGGCUAACCCUGUGCCAGCAGCCGCGGUAAGACAGGGGAUGCAAGCGUUACUCGGAAUUACUGGGCGUAAAGCGUCUGCAGGCGUCCCACCACGUCUGAUGUCAAAUGACAGAGCUCAACUCUGUCCACGUGUCGGAAACGAGUGGGAUUGAGUCACUCAGAGGCACCUGGAAUGUCGUGUGUAGGGGUAAAAUCCGUUGAUCCACGAUGGAACGCCAAAAGCGAAGGCAGGGUGCUGGGGGUGUACUGACGCUCAGAGACGAAAGCGUGGGGAGCAAAGGGG
rnacentral:rRNA from 1 species